rnacentral:lncRNA from 1 species
UAGAAAAGAAGUGGAGCUGCUGUCUUCACUCUUGUGGGUGUGGAAAAUUGACGUGGCUUCAUUCUUUGGGAAGAGAAGGUAUAUUUGCAUGAAAGCAAUAAAAACUCACAAGCCUUCUGUACUUCUAGGUUUUGAUAUGUCUGAACUUAAAAAUGUCAAACACAGACUGAACUUUGGUGAGUGUGAAUCACAAAAGCUGUAGAAGAGAAAGUCUGAAGUCCGGCUGACUUUGGACAUCCCAUUCCCACCUCUCACUCUUGUUCUAAGUGUCUGAGGCCCUUCAAGGCGUUCCAGGUGCUCAGAAAGCCUGAAAAGGAAGCACACACUUCCACAGAUGAGCUGUUCUCUGCAGUUCGCUUUGCGGCUGUUUCAGUUUUUCCUUCUGUCAUGUAAAUUAAAUCUUUGGUAUUCCAUGCACGCCUUGUUUCCCCACGAGUGUCAGUGUCAGUAGCAACAGCCUGCAAUCUACAAAUACUUGGUUUUUCAUUUUAGGGGAUUUCUGCUUGUUUGAGAAUACUUGAUUAAUAGAAAAUUAAAGCAUCGCUCCCUCCUAGUUUACAGACAUCGGCUAGUGACAGUACGUGUCUAGAGAAGCCAGUGCUCUGGAUGUGUGUGGCCCCUAAGGACACACUUGAAAGCAUUAGCUUUUCAUUCUCUGAGUGCUGUUUGUUUAAGACACAGAUUUGAUUUACACCUUUUCAAGUGUUCCCUGACAGCUAUAUUUUUAAUAUCAUAAUUCAUUAAAAAAAAACAAACCUCAAAUGUUUUCCAUUUAUUAAACUAUCCUGAAUCUGAGAUCUGGUGUGUAGUAAUAAUCAAGUGUUGCUUUGCAAAUAAAGUCUCUGUAGGAACAGAAAUGCUUUAUGGUGCAAACUGUCUUUUGCUGUGAUGACAAGUCAUUUCUCUAUUCAGAGGUAAGACAGACUUUUAGUGCCUUUAGAGUAAACGGAAACCACGCAGGUGCUUCCUUCCUCAGGGUCGCUUGUAGCCUAGCAGGAAGGAGGAACCCGGGACAGACAUGUGGGUCCUGCUCUUGACUGAGACACAACUUGAGAUGGAAUUCGGGUUUCAGGCAUAAGGUGUCAAGCAGACCAGAAGCUCUUCCUGUGGUUAGAGUAGCUCGGGGUAGAUGUGUUAGAGUUAGGUGUUCAGGUGAAGGGGAUGGUGAGUCAGUGAAUUUUCACAGUCCUGUGGAUGCCAAAUCUUGUUUGUUUGUUUUUCCUUCUGUGAUAAGAACUAAUGUACAGCACCAGAAUUGAUAAUGAGGACCAGCCAGCUCUGGUCCAAACCAUCCCUCGGUGAUGCGCAGCAAGCAGGGGGUUUGGCCCACCUUCAGAAUAUGAGGGCUUGAUGGCCUCUGAGAAGCACUGCAGUGUUGCUAUAUAGCAUUUUUAAAUAUAAUACUUGCAUGUGAUUACUAAAAUGGAUUUUGAGGCAAUUAUUUGUGACUUGGUAUACUCUGUUGUAAAUUCAGAGCUUGUUGGACUUUAUUUUUUUUUUUUUUAAUUUUCAGAGUGUCUAUUUUUGAAUUAAAAUUUGUUAAACCACUGAAAAUAAAACUGUUCAAUUCUUGUAACGC